rnacentral:tRNA from 1 species
GGGCGAGUAAUCCCGUAAUUGGUAGCGGGGCCGGACUGUAAAUCCGGUGUCUUAGACUCUGGAGGUUCAAAUCCUCCGUCGCCCA